CCUACGAGUGGCAGCAGUAGGGAAUUUUCGGCAAUGGGGGGAACCCUGACCGAGCAACGCCGCAUGAAGGAAGAAGGAAUUCGUUCUGUCAACUUCUGUUCUAAAGGAAGAAAGACGGAGUGAGGACAUUACAUCCACGUGACGGUACUUUAUGCGAAAGCCACGGCUAACUACGGGCCAGCAGCCGCGGUAAUACGUAGGUGGCAAGCGUUAGACGGAAUUAUUGGGCGUAAAGAGGGCGCAGGCGGCAGCAAAGGUCUGUGGUGAAAGACUGAAGCUUAACUUCAGUAAGCCAUAGACACCGGGCAGCUAGAGUGCAGGAGAGGAUCGUGGAAUUCCAUGUGUAGCGGUGAAAUGCGUAGAUAUAUGGAGGAACACCAGUGGCGAAGGCGACGAUCUGGCCUGCAACUGACGCUCAGUCCCGAAAGCGUGGGGAGCAAAUAGGAUUAGAUACCCUUGUAGUC
rnacentral:rRNA from 1 species